UGGGGAAUAUUGCACAAUGGGCGAAAGCCUGAUGCAGCGACGCCGCGUGAGGGAUGACGGCCUUCGGGUUGUAAACCUCUUUCAGCAGGGACGAAGCGCAAGUGACGGUACCUGCAGAAGAAGCACCGGCUAACUACGUGCCAGCAGCCGCGGUCAUACGUAGGGUGCAAGCGUUGUCCGGAAUUACUGGGCGUAAAGAGUUCGUAGGCGGUUUGUCGCGUCGUUUGUGAAAACCAGCAGCUCAACUGCUGGCUUGCAGGCGAUACGGGCAGACUUGAGUACUGCAGGGGAGACUGGAAUUCCUGGUGUAGCGGUGAAAUGCGCAGAUAUCAGGAGGAACACCGGUGGCGAAGGCGGGUCUCUGGGCAGUAACUGACGCUGAGGAACGAAAGCGUGGGUAGCGAACAGG
rnacentral:rRNA from 1 species